UGCCAACAUUGACUUCUCCCAAUUUAAUGAAAAAGGUGUGGAGAAGGGAAAAUCUCUCAUCCUGGACGGCCCUGAGGCUGAUUGUGAGUCAAGUCUGUAUCUGCUGAGGAAGUUAAGUGAUGCACCCUCUAAUUAAGCCCCUGCAGCACUUUCCUCCUACAUAAAUGGGCUGGUGGGUUCCUGGUUGUUCCUGUGGCCACCAGUGCAGCUGAGGGACCCAUCUGAGUGACAGGUUCUUCUCUCAACUGUUUGAGUUUGAAAAGCAAAGACAGCCAAGAGGAAAUUGUUUUGGAGAGAAGUGAUAGCCAACCUGGGAUAGCAGUCAAGGAAAUCUCAGUGGUGACACAAUUCAGUUACAAGGAGGGGAAGUUCCUGCAGAUCCCUAGCAAGCUGGGCCACCACCACCAUUCCCAGGUGAGCUG
rnacentral:lncRNA from 1 species